rnacentral:lncRNA from 1 species
AGGGGACCUGGGAGAUACGUCAGAUACACUCUUUGAUGAUCAACAGAGGGCAUCUUGGUACUUUGAACCAAGACGAAAAGGUCUGCAAAGGGGAGCCAGGGAAGAUACCAGCAACUAAGCAGGUGACCAAAUAUGUUCAGGGCAAGUUUCCUAGCCCGUUUAGAAAAUGAAGUUGCUACACGCCUUGGCAUGAGACCAAAAAAGAGAGAAAUUAGGAAAGAAAGGAGCAAGGUCCAUGAACUCCGGCGUGACAGGACUGGACGAGCGGAGCCGCCAUUCGCUGCCAUCUUCCUCUGGUGCUGUCUUUUCCACAGGCCCGCAACGAAAUCAACACCAAGUUACCAAGUGGGAAGAUGCCCUCUCUGGGAGGCAACAAGUGACCUGAGGCAUGCUGUGUAGCUCUGGGCACCUGCUCUCCAUGUAAGAGGCCACAUUCUAGGGGAUCCACAUGUCACAAAAGUGUAAAGGAAGCAGGAAGGGAGCAGCCCAGAAUUCUGCGCUGGUUUCAGAGUAUACCUGGAUUGUAAAAAUGAUGCUCGAGUUUAUUACAUCCCGCUGCGCAGGGUGAGCACCUACGCCUCCUGCUGGACACUCAAGCCCUGGGCUGAUUCCAUGUUUCACAACCACU